GGGAGGGCUGCUUUCGGCCCCAGCUGGCUGUGAAGGAAAAAAUAUAGACAGAGGCGAAGCAAAGGAAAUACAAGUUACAGAACUGAAAUUACAUUUGCAAAGCUUAACUGUCCAGUAAGAUCCAACAGAGUGCCUUUGUGACCCUGGAGUCGGUGUGGCUUGGUGACACCAAAGAAGCCACAGGCAGCCGACCUGGACUGGAAUCUCUGAAGGAGACGCCGCAGGAGAUUCCAGGGUGUAAGAGAACAGCCCUCCCAAGAGCAGAAGCAUGUUGGAAAUUCUGGACAAGCUGUAUACAGGAUAAUCUCCCUUCCACCUCUCCCCCUCCUCUGAACAUUAUACACAGAAGUGGCCAGUCUGAACAUAAUCAGAGAAAACUGAUGCCAGCUAAACAGCAUUCAACUUACCAUGCAUUUACUAGCACAAUAGAAAUUAUGUUUUGUGUUCUAUGUUCUGUCUUGUGGUGUUUGUCUUGUGGCUGGAAUUUUUGUGUUUAAUAUUUUUAUAAAAUAGUCUAGUUUAAAAUCAAAUAUAAAGGUUAAAUUAAAAUGCACGUACUUGUUUUGUUCAACUUGGAAUACAAAGUGUUUAGAUAAAUCAGGAAAAUGUGAUAUAUUAAAGUCUAAUGCAUUUCCUUAAGUAAGGAAAAGAAACUUUAUUGGUCAAAUUGUUAAUUGCAAAAAUUGUUGCUAAAAUUUGCAUACCAACAGUCUUUGAAAGCAAAGACAUGAAAAGUUAACCCACUCCCCAUAUUGUACAUGGGAUCUUUCUGGCUACCUCAGAUUUCUAGCCAGAGGGCUGGGGAUGGUGGAAGGCUAUUGGACUAGAGGUUGUAUUGAGUGAACUCCUCAAAGUGGGUGUGCUUGUCCUGGCUUGUUGCUCGAAAGCUCUGUAAUAAGGUUAUUUUAGUAAAAGGUUAUGUGUGGCAUAUAUUGAAUAAUAAGACUAAUGUACUGUAUAAUGACAAUGUGUAGGUGUUCAUUGUUGGGAAAAAGGUGUAUAAGUAAAAAGUGAAAGUUUCCUUUGCAGGUUAAAAGAAGCCAGGAAGGAAAGAAGGACAAAGAACAGAAUGAAUUAACUGAAAAAAAUAAAAUAAAAUAAAAUAGCAAGCUCAGGCUAUAGAUAAGACACUGACUCCAUUCAAGGACACUACUCACAGUUAAGACUUGGUUAACAACCAGGAAAAGGAGAGCUUGAAUUUGCCCAUGCAGCUAUGAGAUCUGAAAAACACUGCCAGGCACUAAUGAAAUGUGUUAAGUUUCUUUUCUCACAGGUAAGGAAUCGCUACCCAAAGACCCUAGCAGCCCUGCCACUCCUUACAACCAGGAGACAGGAUUGAUAUAAAGGUCCACCAACGAAAGACUGCCUUGGCUCCAUGCUGGAAAGGCUCUUAAGUCCUGAUGACUACCAACACCGCUGUGAAGUGCCAAAGACUGACUGCUUGGACCCAAGAUUCUCAGUGCAAAAAGACCCCUCCACAUUGGGAGAAUUCUCCUACUGAUGAUUAGCCUAUUUCACCUUCUAGCUCCACUGUGCCUUCUGGACAGUAGGAAAAAAGUACAAGGUGAAGUGCUAGUAACCUCUCUCUUAUCCACUGACAGAUCUACUGUGCCUUUGAAUUUUUCUAAAAAAAGCAAAACCAUUACAGGGUGAUGUGCUAGUAACCUCUCCCCUAUAUGAUGCUGCACCACGACUGUUUUGGGAAAGAAGAAGAAACACUCACUCCACUGAAAUUGCUAAAGUCCAGGAAUUCCUGACUAGAAAGGACAUUAAGAACUGACCCUGGUGAAGAAACAAAGAAUUGUACACUGGCAGAAAAAAUUUGUGGGACCCAUGCUUGGGAAUGUGGUAUUGAUUGGAUUUUGGGGUAUAUUCUACAGGCUGUGCCCUGUGUUCUGGAUAAAUUCUUCAGCAUGUAUUGGAUUUUAAAUAACAAGUACCCGAAGAGUUUGUUCUGCCACUGGAAAUUUUACCUGUACUGAAACCAUUCCAGUGACUAAUAAUGUAACCCCCUCCUAUGCUAUUAAUGUCAAUGCCUUUUAAAAGUACCUAAAAAUAGUUAAAUAACAAAUGUAAUAUAGUACUACACCAAGGAAAGAUGGUAUUAAAUAUCACUGAGGCUGGGAAGGCAUUGCAGUGGGAUCUAGUAUGUUUGGAGAUUCAGAAUUUCCUGAAUGACCAGCUGAUGGCCAUUCGGAGUGAUCUUGAGUACCAGACUUGGCCCACUGCCCUUACAGACACAUCAGGAGUACCAUCUGAUCUGUGGUCAUGGAGAUAUACUAAAGACUUUCUGGGUGGAAGUGUAAA